GAUUAAGUUAUUAAGGGCGCACGGUGGAUGCCUUGGCACUAGAAGCCGAUGAAGGACGUUACUAACGACGAUAUGCUUUGGGUAGCUGUAAGUAAGCG
rnacentral:rRNA from 2 species